GUUAUAUAUAUUUUUGUAGUUGUGUUGGCUAUUUUGGAAGAAUUUUAUGCGUUACUCUAUACAUCCAAUGCUUUAAUUGUUCCUGAUGAGAGUGAGUGUACAAAUAUCACUUUAGACGUUAUCACAUUAUUUGGUCAUCCAAUACAGCCAAAACUGUGUCGGCUGGAUACGACAAAAGGUUAAUUACUGUUAUCACAUGUUUUGUAUGAAGCA
rnacentral:lncRNA from 1 species